rnacentral:tRNA from 1 species
GGACGGGUAGCUCAAUGGUAGAGCACUGCUUUUCACCUUGGCAGGUCAUGUCGGUUCAAUUCCGGCCCCGUUCGC